rnacentral:rRNA from 1 species
CGACGUCGCGAGAAGUCCACUGAACCUUAUCAUUUAGAGGAAGGAGAAGUCGUAACAAGGUUUCCGUAGGUGAACCUGCGGAAGGAUCAUUGUCGAUGCCUAAACAUCAAACGACCCGUGAACACGUUUACAAACAAAUUGUUCGUGUCAGGGGUGGGGGAAGCAUGCUCUUUUGCUUGCCCCUCCAUCCCUAGCACGCUUAAACCAAACCCCGGCGCAGGUCGCGCCAAGGAACAUGAAAUGAAUUCGCUUGCCCCUUGCCCCGGCCUCGGAGUGCGAGGGGUGGAGCAUUCUUGUCGUAUUACUCACAACGACUCUCGGCAACGGAUAUCUCGGCUCUCGCAUCGAUGAAGAACGUAGCGAAAUGCGAUACUUGGUGUGAAUUGCAGGAUCCCGCGAACCACCGAGUCUUUGAACGCAAGUUGCGCCCGGAGCCUUUUGGCCGAGGGCACGUCUGCCUGGGCGUCACGCAUCACUGCCCCCCAUGCAACACCCCAUGCGGGCUCGUAGCACUGGUUGGGCACAUGUUGGCCUCCCGUGUGCACCGUCGCACGGAUGGCUUAAAUUUGAGUCCUUGGCGCAUGUCGUCGCGACACUACGGUGGUUGAUUCAACCUCAGUACCAUGUCACGGCCUCAACGCCCAUCUGUGGACUCUUUCAAUGACCCUCUGAACGACAUCCCCCAAAGGAUGGCGCUCUCGACGCGACCCCAGGUCAGGCGGGACUACCCGCUGAGUUUAAGCAUAUCAAUAAGCGGAGG